rnacentral:rRNA from 1 species
AUUGAACGCUGGCGGCAGGCCUAACACAUGCAAGUCGAACGAAUGGCGGACGGGUGAGUCAUGUCUGGGAAACUGCCUGAUGGCGGGGGAUAACUACUAGAAACGGUAGCUAAUACCGCAUACCAUCAGAUGUGCCCAGAGGGGAUUAGCUAGUUGGGGGGGUAACGGCUCACCUAGGCGACUAUCCCUAGCGGGUCUGAGAGGAGGACCAGCCACACUGGAACUGUGACACGGUCCAGACUCCUACGGGAGGCAGCAGUGGGGAAUAUUGGACAAUGGGCGCAAGCCUGAUGCAGCCAUGCCGCGUGUAUGAAGAAGGCCUUCGGGUUGUAAAGUACUUUCGGCGGGGAGGCGUUACCCGCAGAAGAAGCACCGGCUAACUCCGUGCCAGCAGCCGCGGUAAUUC